GGUUUGAUCUGACAGAUUGAACGCCCAACCGGGAUUGCUUUUACAUGCGAAAUCCGAACAGCCGCUGGACUUCGAUCUGGGCGAGUGGCGAACGGGGAUGAUAAUGUAUGAACGUGCCUAAGUAGCGGGGGAUAACUACGCGAAGCGUAGCUAAUACCGCAUACGCCCUUCGAAGGGAAAGCAGGGGACCUUCGGGCCUGCACUAUUGACAAUGAUAUCGGAUUGGCUAUUUGGUGGGGCAACAGCAACACCGAGGCGACGAUCCGUAGCUGGUUUGAGGACGACCAGCCACACUGGGACUGGACGGCCAGGCUCCUGCGGGAAGCAGCAGUGAAUUUUGGACAAUGGGGGAAACCCUGAUCCAGCCAUCCCGCGUGUGCGAUGAAGCUGGUUUGUAAAGCACUUUUGGCAGGAAAGAAACGGCGGGAUAAUACCCGUGCAACUGACGGUACCCGCAGAAUAAGCACCGGCUAACUACGUGCCAGCAGCCGCGGUAAUACGUAGGGUGCAAGCGUUAAUCAGAAUUACUGGAGGCGUAAAGCGUGCGCAGGCAGUUCAGAAAGAAAGAUGAAAUCCCAGAGCUUAACUUUGGAACUGCAUUUUUAACUACCGAGCUGAAAGAGUGUGUGGGGAGGUGGAAUUCCGUAGCAGUGAAAUGCGUAGAUAUGCGGAGGAACACCGAUGGCGAAGGCGUCUGGGAUAACACUGACGCUCAUGCACGAAGCGUGAGGGCAGCAAGGUUGAAUACCCUGGUAGUCCACGCCCUAAACGAUGUCAACUAGCUGUUGGGGCCUUCGGGCCUUGGUGGCCGCAGCUAACGCGUGAAGUUGACCGCCUGGGGAGUACGGUCGCAAGAUUAAAACUCAAAGGAAUUGACGGGAGUUCGACGAUGGAUGAUGUGGAUUAAUUCGAUGCAACGCGAAAAGCCUUACCUACCAUGCGGCAUAUCUGGAUCCCGAAGGGUUUAAGGUGCUCGCAAGAGAACCGGAACACAGGUGCUGCAUGGCUGUCGUCAGCUCGUGUCGUGAGAUGUUGGGUUAAGUCCGCAACAGGCGCAACCCCUUUAUCGUGAUUUGCGCUACGAAAGGGCACUCCGUAGAGGCGCGAAGUGACGCAAACCGGAGGAAGGUGGGGAUGACGUCGAGUCCUCCGCAGCCCUUAUGGUGGGGCUUCACGUCAUACAAUGGUCAGGACGAAGUUCUCGCCAACCCGCGAGGAGCCAAUCCCGACCCGAUCGUAGUCCGGAUCGCGGUCUGCGCUCUGACUUUGCGUGAAGUCGGAAUCGCUAGUAAUCGCGGAUCAGCAUGUCGCGGUGAAUACGUUCGGAUGUAUACACACCGCGUACACACCAGCGGGUGGGUUUACAAGUAGUUAGCUAACCGUAAGGAGGGCGAUUACCACGAUGGGAUUCCUUUGACUGGGGUGGAGUCGUAACAAAGAUAGCCUCAUUACUACAGUUAUCCC
rnacentral:rRNA from 1 species